UUUUAUUAUUACCUUCUAGUUUUAAUUAGUUUUACAGAUUAUUGUUACACGUGAUUUUAUGCUCUUUUAAACAUUUAUAAAUGUGCUGCUUCUUUGUUUUUACAUAGCCAGCCAGAAUAGAGCUCAGAGCCUCAGUGUAUCUUGUGACACAGGGACCAUGAUGGAAAUUCAUCUUCCAGAAAGUCCCAGAGCAGUGUCCACACCCCUGAAAAGACCAAGAUGUGAGGUGUCUGCUGUUGAUUCCAGCUUCCACCUCAGUGACAGUGCAAGCUCAGUGAACUGUUCAAGGAGGCUACUGAUUCUGCCCCUGUGACACUUGGUGGUGACGUGUGAGCUGAUUCACCUGGACACUCAGCAAAAUAUGGACUCUACACCAUGAGGCAGGCAC